GAUGAAGAACGUAGCGAAAUGCGAUAAGUAAUGUGAAUUACAGAAUUCAGUGAAUCAUCGAAUCUUUGAACGCACCUUGCGCUCCUUGGUAUUCCGAGGAGCAUGCCUGUUUGAGUGUCAUGAAAUUCUCAACCUUUCUGGCUUUUGCUAGUCAGGCUUGGAUUAUGGGAGCUGCUGGCUUUUGAAGUCGGCUCUUCUAAAAUGUAUUAGCAAGAUCAUUGCUGCUCAUCAUUGGUAUGAUAAUUAUCUAUAUCAUUGAGAGUCAGUUUCCUUUAUUGGAAGAUUUUGCUCCUAACGGUCUUUAGCAAGACAACAUUUGACGAUUUUGACCUCAAAUCAGGUAGGACUACCCGCUGAACUUAAGCAUAUCAAUAAGCGGAGGA
rnacentral:misc_RNA from 1 species